CGGCCGGAUGCUUUACCUGCAAGUCGAACGGCAGCACGGGGGCAACCCUGGUGGCGAGUGGCGAACGGGUGAGUAAUACAUCGGAACGUGCCCAGUCGUGGGGGAUAACUACGCGAAAGCGUAGCUAAUACCGCAUACGAUCUACGGAUGAAAGCGGGGGAUCGCAAGACCUCGCGCGAUUGGAGCGGCCGAUGGCAGAUUAGGUAGUUGGUGGGGUAAAGGCUCACCAAGCCUGCGAUCUGUAGCUGGUCUGAGAGGACGACCAGCCACACUGGGACUGAGACACGGCCCAGACUCCUACGGGAGGCAGCAGUGGGGAAUUUUGGACAAUGGGCGCAAGCCUGAUCCAGCCAUUCCGCGUGCAGGAUGGAGGCCUUCGGGUUGUAAACUGCUUUCGUACGGAACGGAAAGCCUUCUUCUAAUACAAGAGGGUCAUGACGGUACCGUAAGAAUAAGCACCGGCUAACCACGUGCCAGCAGCCGCGGUAAUACGUAGGGUGCAAGCGUUAAUCGGAAUUACUGGGCGUAAAGCGUGCGCAGGCGGUGAUGUAAGACAGAUGUGAAAUCCCCGGGCUCAACCUGGGAACUGCAUUUGUGACUGCAUCGCUGGAGUGCGGCAGAGGGGGAUGGAAUUCCGCGUGUAGCAGUGAAAUGCGUAGAUAUGCGGAGGAACACCGAUGGCGAAGGCAAUCCCCUGGGCCUGCACUGACGCUCAUGCACGAAAGCGUGGGGAGCAAACAGGAUUAGAUACCCCUGGUAGUCCACGCCCUAAACGAUGUCAAC
rnacentral:rRNA from 1 species